AUGAAUUGGAUACUUCAAGAGAAGAGAAGAGAAUUGUCAAAUAAUGAGAGGCAUGGUGUUUACUUCGCCUUGCUGGUAAUCAAGCUCAGAGAUGGGUCUGUUCAACCAGACGACAAGCUGCUAGUCUCAAACCUGUUGGACAUAAUUGCACGAUCUAUUGAAAGAAUCUGGGAAGACGCCAAAAACCAAAUUGCCCAUGGCAAAGAAGUCGAUGUCUCAAGCAAGAAGCCAGGAAGAUCUGGCCGAACGAGAAAGGAGCUGGAUCUAGAGAGGACCUCAACAAUCCCACUGAAUAAAAGAAGGACAAUUCGAUCUCUGGCACGGUCUCUAGGUGUGGCCCGAUCUACCCUACAUAAGAGGUUCCAGUUGAAUGAGCUCAACCGCAUCACAAGCACCGUGAAGCCUCACCUCAAGCUAGAGAACAAGCUUGCGAGAUUGAAAUUUUGUAUGUCCAUGGUCGAUGACAAUUCGAUCUCAACUUCUCGGGCUAUGUUCAAACCAAUGACGAAUAUGGUUCACAUCGAUGAAAAGUGGUUUGCCAUGAUGAGAGUGAAGAAUAAUUACUAUGUACUUCCAGGAGAACCUGAACUGAAGCGCACCGUGUCAAACACUCACAACAUUGGGAAGGUAAUGUUCCUAACAGCUAUUGCCAGGCCUUGA
rnacentral:rRNA from 1 species